UAAUCUUCCCGUCGGGCGGGGAUAACAUUCCGAAAGGAGUGCUAAUACCGCAUAAGACCACGGGCCGAAGGCCUUGAGGUCAAAGCUGGCCUCUAUUCAUAAGCUAGCACCUGAGGACGAGUCCGCGGCCCAUCAGCUAGUUGGUAGGGUAACGGCCUACCAAGGCAAAGACGGGUAGCUGGUCUGAGAGGAUGAUCAGCCACACUGGAACUGAGACACGGUCCAG
rnacentral:rRNA from 1 species